rnacentral:rRNA from 1 species
GUAGGGAAUAUUGGGCAAUGGAUGCAAGUCUGACCCAGCCAUCCCGCGUGCCGGAAGAAGGCCCUCAGGGUUGUAAACGGCUUUUGACGGUGAAGAAUCGACAGGAUGCGUCCUGUUUUGACGGUAGCCGUUGAAUAAGCACCGGCUAACUCCGUGCCAGCAGCCGCGGUAAUACGGAGGGUGCGAGCGUUGUCCGGAUUUAUUGGGUUUAAAGGGUGCGUAGGCGGGAAGGUCAGUCAGCGGUGAAAAGCUGUCGCUUAACGAUAGUCUUGCCGCAGAUACUUCCUUUCUUGGAUGAGGAGGAGGCCACUGGAACGGAUGGUGUAGCGGUGAAAUGCAUAGAUAUCAUCCAGAACACCGAUUGCGAAGGCAGGUGGCUGUACCUUAAUCGACGCUGAUGCACGAAAGCAUGGGGAGCAAACAGGAUUAGAAACCCUUGUAGUCC